rnacentral:rRNA from 1 species
AUUGAACGCUGGCGGCAGGCCUAACACAUGCAAGUCGAGCGAGCGGCGGACGGGUGAGUAAUAUCUGGGAAACUGCCUGAUGGAGGGGGAUAACUACUGGAAACGGUAGCUAAUACCGCAUACCCUCAGAUGUGCCCAGAUGGGAUGGACUGGUAGGUGGGGUAACGGCUCACCUAGGCGACGCUCCCUAGCUGGUCUGAGAGGUUGACCAGCCACACGGGAACGGAAACACGGGCCAGACUCCUACGGGAGGCAGCAGGGGGGAAUAUUGCACAAUGGGCGCAAGCCUGAUGCAGCCAUGCCGCGUGUGUGAAGAAGGCCUUCGGGUUGUAAAGCACUUUCAGCGGGGAGGCGUUACCCGCAGAAGAAGCACCGGCUAACUCCGUGCCAGCAGCCGCGGUAAUAC